CCCGAGUAAUCAUGAUUCAUGAUCUAAAAAAAUAGAACAGGAGAAUAAUGAGCUAUACUAGUCCAAUAAGCAAUAUAACACAUCAAAGUGGGGUCUAAGCAUACUGAGCAAAUAAAUCAUACAAUAUUGAUUGGAAGAAAUAAAUCUUAAAUAACAUAUAUUUUUUUGAAACUAAUUAUUUUUAUAAACUGAUAAUGAACUCAACAUCAAGUUAUGACUAUGUAACCUAAUGGCAUAUUCUAAUCAUUGGUGGCUCGAUAUUGAAAUCAAUUCCUCGUAUUACAAGUCAACAGGUCCAAUAUAUAAUCUCCAAUGGUGAGGUCACAUCAUAGCCAUAUUAAGAACAUAUAUAUAAAAGCAAUUUCACAAGUUUCCUAAUUAAAUUUUCCAAAUCCAUUUCUCAAAGUAGAUCAUAUAUUCAAAAUAAAUUAUUUUAAAUAAUAAAAUAAUAUAUACUUGACCCAUUUUGUCAGAUAGAAAUAGCUUUCAUAAUUCAAAUUAAAUAAAUUAAUUAUAAUUUUUUCAAUAAUUAUUCGAAAGCACACUUGAAGCAUUAGAUUACUUAUCUCAUCAUGCUUCAAAAUCUGACUUCAAUCAAACAAAUCAGAUAGACCUAUUCAAAACUAUUAAUUAAUUAGUUAAUUUUUUAGAAUACCUUCAGACAAUAAACAUGAAAAAUCCAAAAGGAUCAAUGGAGCAAAUAACCAAAUUAGGGUAUGACUAAAGAUUGUUUCAUACUUGAAUCAAGAUAGAUCAAGAAUAUACUAAUCAAAUGGUGAAGCUUGACGGCACUAAAUCAAUCAGUUUGGAUAAUUUUAUAUCAUUGAAGGUUAAGUAGGAUACAAUAAUAUAUUGGACACCAAAAUCGAGAAUAACCAAAUUUAAUAGGAUCUCACAAGAACCAAGAUGGAAGCUAGUGUAUUGCACGAUGUCUCAAUCAAUCUAAGCAAGAUGAUUUCACCAAAUCAUGGUUGAAUUAAAGUAUAGAUAGCUCAAUAAAAAUCAUAAAUAAUCGAAUCGAUCUAAUAGUGUCCGAAUCUAGCCAAAAUAGGUGCUAGCACAUUGCUCAGCAAUCGUGGAUCAGAACCUUUGAUUAAGUUUGAUCAAAAUCAUCGAAAUAAAACUCCUUUAUUGGACCAAUCUUAAAGAGAAAAAUACAUGAAGAGAGAGAAAUGAUCUAACAAGCAAAAAUUUUAGAGUGAGAAACUAGAGAGAAAGUAAAUUUUUUAGGGAGAGAAAGUGGGAAGAGAGAGGAAGUAGAGAGAAACUAGGGAGAGAAAGAGAGGAAAGGGAGGAGAGAAAGAAGAGAAAAAAAUCUUUUCUUUUUUUUUCCUUCUUCUUCUUUCUUCUUCCUUUCUUUUUUUCCUUUUCUUUUCUUUUCUUUCUUUUUUCUCUCUUCUUCUUCUUAUUCCUUCAUUUGGGCAAAACAAGGGAUGCUUGAAUCUCUACUUCUCACCUGACUCCAAGAGAGUUUUGCUUGAUAAAGAUGAUUGGAGGCACGGCCCACGAUAGUGCAACCGAUAGUCCUUAAUCUGUACUCGACGAUGACAGAUGACAUCCAACAACGAGAUGGCCAAAAAAAGGAGAUUUUGAGAUCCAAUUUUUUCCAAGAAAAUCUUAGUCUAUAACUCAAAAGGGAUUGAAGAGAAGAUUUCUUAAGGGAUUGACUUUGCUUUUAGCGGUGUUUGGGCCAUAAAUCUACAAGCACAAUGCUACCUAACCGAGAACAAAAAGGGAAAAAAAAAGAGAAGAACAAGGAUAGAAAGAGGAAUUUCGAUGAUGAGAGACCAUGAAGAGGGGGGGGCAUCAUUUAUAGAGGGGCUUAGAUUUUCUUUGGCUCAUAUUAGAGUUCGUUUUGAGAUAGGAGUCUUCUUCCUCCCAUUUGUUUCUCUUUUUCUUUUUUUUUUCUACUUUAAAAAACAUACUUGAAAAUUCAUGCAAUUCUUGGUGGAUAGAAGCUGAGGUACCACAUUCUUCGCUCUUAAAAAAAAAAUUCAUCUCUGAAAUUUUUUUUUGUACUUUCACAAGGUAGGUAAUUCAUAUAUAGUUUUAAUCUCAUCCUCAAACUUUUUUUUUUUUUGCCAUUUGAUAUUUUAGUUAUCGAUGUAAUUUCAUCAUAAAAUCACUUAAUAAAAGAAAGAUCAAUAGCAGAAGACUUGAUCCUAAUCGGAACUAUUCUUUCUUGUAAUCAAAAUCAAUAUCUUAAUUCUAGAUAAAGAUAUUAAAUUUCUGACCAAAAGUAUCAACUAUGUGUGGCUUAAUCGAUUUAACACAAGAUCAUAAACAAACUUUACCAUACUCUUAGUAGAUAAAUAUUUGAAUAUAAAAUCCAUGAUCGAUAAAUAAUCUCACAUUCUUUCUAACAAAUAAAGAGACAAAAGCUUUAAAUAUUCCAAAUCCAAGAUAAAGAAUUGAUACUCCAUUUAUUCUAGACUCAAGAUGCUAGAAGAAUUUUCUUAGCAUAGUAGAUAGAGGACGCACUAGUAAAAAAUCAUGUAGUAACCUCCCAAAUAAUUCAAAAUCAAAAUUUUUGUCAUUUCCAUUAUCAAUGAAGUCCUAUACAAGGCAUGUCAAAUCAUAUUAUUUAUCAUAAACUUCUAACUCAAAGAAUUAAUAUUAUUAAUCAGAUCAAAAUAAUCCAAAUCACCAUACUUCUGCUGUGCACUCUAAUUUAAAUUAUCAAAAUUUUUUUGGAUGUACUAAAUGGCUUUAGAUCAAAAUAUACUACUGUGUGUCAUAAAUUAAGCAAGUUAAAGAAUUUCAAAUUUCAAGAGAAGCUAUAUAUAAUAGAACUUUUAAGUGUCAUUCCCAAUUUACCUCGAGCACAUCUAUCUUGACUAAUUGUUGAGCCAAUUACUACACUCAAAUUCAUCAUAUAAUCCAUAUACAAGUAUGAAACUCAAAGAAUAUUUCAGUCAAAUAUCAUAAAAAAAAUUUUAGCCCAAAAUUUAAAUAACUUCUUAUGAAUGAAUCCUAAACUACCAUCAAAAUAAUUAAUUUCAAGCUUGCAGUAAUGUCACAGUAUAACCUCAUAUCAAAUUGAGCUCCCAAAUUUACUUAAAUAAUGAAUAAACAAAUAAUCAUAGUGCAUAAUAGUAAUAAACAAAUAAUUAUAAUGCACAUAUUCCAUGAAAAUUCCUAUUACACUUAAUUUAAAUGAAAAUCCAACAAAUAGAAACCUUAAACUCAAAUUGCCAUGCCCUGAGAAAUCUCAACCAGCUCAUUACACUUUGUCUAUGGGCAUAAUACGGUGAUAUUUUAAGUUUAUCAAAAUAGCAAGCAUCACAAACAAUAUUUAGACAAAAUAACACAAAGUUAUCAAUAAAAAAAGCAAACAGAGAUGUCUCAUUGCCUAAGUCUGUCUAACUCUCAACCUUUCCGAUGAGUCCUAAGAAUUUUAAAACAUAUCACUAAUUCUAUCAUGAUUUUAUCACAAUUCCUAAUAAUCUUAAACCUAAACUCUGAUAUCACUAAAUCUAUCAUGCCCCAAACCGAGCACGUGAUAGAUGCCGCAUACCUACAGGCUGGGCCAUAUAAGCAUGCAAGGCUACAAAUCAAGUCAUAAAAUUUUAAAAUGAUAAUAACAAUAAUAAGUCUUCAAUUCUCAAAAAUCAAUUAAAUAAAAUCAAGUAAAUCCUUUUCUAUAACAAAUAUUUUUACGUAGCAUAAAUCAUAAUGUUCUAUCUAAACAAAAUAUCCAAACUAAAUCAAAUUAAGCACUAAAUUGAACUAAGCUAAACUGAACCAAGCUAAGAAUCUGAAUAACUCAAAUAUCUCCAAUCAAUUUAAUGCACUCCCCCACAUCCCAAGUAAUCAUGAUUCAUAAUAUGAAAAAAUAGAACAAGUGAAUAAUGAACUACACUAGCUCAAUAAACAAUAUAACACAUCAAAGUGGGGUCUAAGCAUACUGAGCAAAUAAAUCAUAUAAUAUUAACUAGGAGAAAUAAAUCUUAAGUAACAUAUAUUUCUUUAAAACUAAUUAUUUUCAUAAACUGAUAAUGAACUCAACAUCAAGCUACGACCAUGUAAUCCAGUGGUAUGGAUCUGAUAAUAGAAAUACGUUGUAUAAAGUACCAGAUAACAGAUACCACCAAUGGCUCGAUGUCGAAACUAAUUUUUUGGAUUACAAGUUGACAGGUCCAAUAUAUAAUUCCUAUUGACGGGGCCACGUCAUAGCCAUAUUGAGAAUAUAUAUAUAUAUAUAUAUAUAUAUAUAUAUAUAUAUAUANNNNNNNNNNNNNNNNNNNNNNNNNNNNNNNNNNNNNNNNNNNNNNNNNNNNNNNNNNNNNNNNNNNNNNNNNNNNNNNNNNNNNNNNNNNNNNNNNNNNNNNNNNNNNNNNNNNNNNNNNNNNNNNNNNNNNNNNNNNNNNNNNNNNNNNNNNNNNNUAUAUAUAUAUAUAUAUAUAUAUAUAUAUAUAUAUAUAUAUAUAUAUAUAUAUAUAUAUAAAAGCAAUUUCACAAGUUUUCUAGUCAAGUUUUCCAAAUCCAUUUUUUAAAGUUGAUCAUAUAUUCAAAAUAAAUUAUUUACAAUAAUAAAAUAAUACAUGCUUGACCCAUUUUGUUGGAUGAAAAUAGAGAUCAUAAUUUAAAUUAAAUAAACUAAUUAUAAUUUUUCCAAAAGUCGUUCGAAAAUACACUUGAAGCGUUAGAUUUUUUUUUUUUUUUUAGGUAAAACAGGAGCUUGAGCUUUCAUUAAAAACAUAAGUCAGAUACAUAGUUGCUACAAGGAAGUAAUAACAACAGAUCUACCAGAUACGAAGAAGAAGGAUCCAAAAGAUAGAUCACAAGUAUCAGAUACAUAGAAAUAUAACCAGUAGGAACUAAUAACCAGUAGGAACUAAUAACAAGUAUCAGAAGUAAUAACCAGUAGGAAGUAAAACGAAAGUUCCAAAUAGAUGGUUCAGCAAAACAGAAGAGGUUAAAUAGAACUAGCGCCUGAUAUCCUAUGCUUGAAGUGUUACGUUACCACGUCAUGCUUCAAAAUCUGACUUCAAUCAAAUAGAUCAAACAAACUUAUUCAAAACUAUUAAAAUUUAAUUAAUUAGUUAAUUUCUUGGAAGUCCUCUAAAUAAUAAACAUGAAGAAUCCAAAAGCAUCAAGGGUGCGAAAUAACCCAAUUAGGAUAUGACUAAGGAUGGUUUCAUACUUGAAUCAAAAUAGAUCAAUGAUAGGCCAGAUAAAUGAUGAAGCCUGAUGGCAUUAAAUCAACCAGUUUGUGUAAUUUUAUAUUAUCGAAGGUCAAAGUAAGAUAUAAAUUGAACAUCGCAAUUGAGGAUGGCUAAAUCUAAUAGGAUCUCACAAGAGUCAAGGUGGAAGGUAGUGCAUUGUCCAAUUUCUCAAUCAAUCUGAGCAAGAUGAUUUCAUCAAAUCAUAGUUGAAUUAAAGUAUAGAUAGCUCAAUAAAAAUCAUAAGUAAUCGAAUCUAAUGAAAUCCGGAUCUGACCAAAGUAGAUGUCGGCAUGUUAUCCGAUGACCACAGAUUAAGAUCCUUGAUUAAGCUCGAUCAAAAUUAUCGAAAGAAAACUCCUUUAUUGGAUCAAUCUUAAAGAGAGAAAUACAUGAAGAGAUAGCAAUGAUUUAGAGAGAAAAAAAAUUAGAGAGAGAAAUUUGAUAGAAAGUAAAAUUUUUAGAGAGAGAAAGUGGGAAUACAGAGGAAGGAGAGAGAAACUAGGGAGAGAAAGAGAAGAAAGGAAGAGGAGAGAGGGAAGAGAGAAUUUUUUUUUUUCUUCUUCUGUUUUCUUUUCCUUUUCUUUUCUUUUUCUCUCUCUUCUUCUUCUUGUUCUCUCAUUUGGGUAAAAUCGGGGAUUCUUAAAUCCCUUCCUUCUCCUCAAACUCUAAGAGAGUCUUGCCCGAAAAUGAUGAUCGGAGGUGUGGCUCAUGACAGCACAACCAAUGAUCCCUGAUCUAAUGCUCGACGGUUGGCACUAGAAAUCCCAACAAACGGAGGGACAAGGUGGAAGGAGAGAGAGAUGGUUGGGUAGGGUCGCAAUAGAGAUGAGGAGGAGAAAGGAGAGGAGCAAGGAGAGAUAAGAAAAAUGCACAAGAGUGGUGGAGGUGGAGUAAGGCCACCAACUGGUGGCUUUGCACAAUAGAGAGAAACAAGGGUCCUUUCCCUAUUUCCUCACUUGAAUAAGGGAAGGGCACUACCUUUGCAGGUCCGAUUGUAGCGGGCAGGCCCCAAUUUUGGGAUUGGAUAUUACAUGACUCAGUUUGUGCAAGAUAGCAAAAUUUUUUUUUUUUAAUAAAAAUGGAUCACUCAUAUAAGUCUUGUGUGAAUAUAUCCAAGAGAGUUAGAAAGCAAAAUAUCUUUGAAAGACCAAGAAGUCAAUCCAAGAUCAAUCCACAAAAGAUUUCUGAUAUGCUCCGCAAUAUGAGCUACGACCUAGUCAACGACAGCGUUAGCCUUCCAGAAGAUGUGCCUAAUAGAGAAACUUGCACACCCAGAUAAUAAUAUAGAAAUGUCCCACGGGAUAUGAUGAGUAACAACUCCUUGUGUGCAUCCUUGUAUCUAGGACACUAUCACGAUAGAAUCUCCCUCAAUGACUACAUGAUCUGCAUGUAGGAUCCUUCGAGCAUACACAAUCUUAGCCCACGUAGUCUGGAGCUCCAUCUCAAGAACUAUAGGCUCCAAGAGCUAGCAUUCUCCUGCUGCAAUCAAUCUGGAGUCGAACCCAUGGAUCACAAUUCCAGCAUCUCCAAGCCUGCAGCAGAUGCUCCCAUCAAAGUUGAUCUUAAGACACCUCGAAUGAUGGGGCUCCCAAGUGAUAUCACUACAUUAGCAAGGUGAGAGUCCCAGAUUUCUGAAGACCUUGAGGUCACAUCGAUCAUCUCCAUUACUAAAGGGCUCUCUUCAAGAUAAAUCGCGUUGAGAUCCUCCUAAACUCAAAGACCAAUUGUUCUUGGCCAGCCAUAUAUGCUGGACAAUAUAUGCUGCAUCGAUGACUGUGCCUCGAGAUAUAAACCCCCCACUCUUCAUCUCAAAAGGUCUAAGAAUGCCCCAACUUGAUCCUCAACCUGUGCAAUUGACGGUGAAGACCAGCCAGCAUCUAGACCUGUUUGGCCCACAGGCACCAAAAGAGGGUUUAUUUGGGAGCAAACUUGGAGAGCUUCAGAUUGGUUUCAACAGGCGAUCCAACACACACCAUCUAAAGUUGGCCAAGAUUCUAGAGCUCUAAAAGUAGAUUUUUUUUAAAUAUUAUUUUUUUAAUAUUUAUUUCUCAAUUUAUCUCUUUUUUUUAAUUUAUUUUUUAAAAUAUGAUAUUUUGGAUGAGGUGGCGCUAACGUGGCAAAACCGCAUGUUGAACAUGCGGUUUCCACAUGAAACCUCAUCAUCAACAUGUGAUUUCAAAUGAGAUAGAUAAAAAAUUUAAAUUUUAAUUUUAAUUUUAAAUUUUAAAUUGAAACCACAUAUUGAAUAUGCGAUUUUAUUUUUCAAAAUGAAAUCAUGCCGCUAUUUUUUUUUUCAUUUUCGGCUUUAUAUCGGAUCAGAGGGCUUUGUUGGGAUCGGGGAGGGAGAGGAGGGGGGCCACCAGUUGGCUGGAGUAGUGGCCAGACAGCGAGGACGGUGGCGUGCGGCGCUGGAGACAGCGCGUGGGAUGCGAGCACAGCGGCUGGGGGAAGAUGGAGGGGGUUCCGAGGGGUGGGGAGUUGCUUUUAUGUUCGCACGGACAGACGCCGGAGCUUGGGGGGAGGAGAGGGGUGGUGGUGGUCACGUGGAGCCAGGGGCAGAUGGUGGUAAGAAAUGGACAGCGGCGGGGCAGGGUCGUGGCAGGUGGGGGGGGGUCGCGAUGGGAUAGAGGGGCAGAACGAGUAUGGGGCCCACGACAGAAAUCGUGGAAGACAGCAACAGGGCGGGUCUGUGGGUGGCAUGCCAGAGGAGGGUGGGUGCGGGUCGGCCGCUGGCAGAGCAAGGUUGGCCAAGAGGUGGGAGGAAGGGAAGGAAGAAAUGAGGAAAAAAAAAGAAAAAGAGAAGGUCCUUCGACGCGCCACCCACGGCCCCAUCCCGCUGCCGUCCGCCUCUGGCUUCGUGCGACCACCAACCCCCUUCCCCUCCUCCCGAGCCCCGGCGUUCGUCCACACGAUCACAAAAACUGCUCCCCCACCCCUCGGAACCCCUUUCGCCUUCCUCCGAUUGCUGCGCCCGCAUCCCAUGCACCCCCCAGGAACCGCAUGCCACUACCCCAGCCGACCGGAGGCCCCCUUCCCCUCCCUCCCCGAUCCCAAUGAAGCUCCUCGGUCUAGUACAAAGCCGGAAAUGAAAAAAAACGGUGGCACUCCAAAACGGCCCAAAAAAAAGAAAAACAAAAAAACUGUAUCUUGAAUAUGCGAUUUCAUGUUGAAAACUAAACCGCAUGUUCAACAUAUAAUUUUAAUUUUAAAUUUAAAUUAAAAUUAAAUUUAAUUUUUUAUCUAUCUCAUUUGAAACCGCACGUUGAAGAUGAGAUUUCAAGCAAAAACUGUACGUUCAACAUGUGAUUUCACUAUGUCCGUACUAUCUCAUCUAUACUACGAUAUUUUUAAAAGUAAAUUAAGAAGAGCAGUAAAUCAAAAAAAUAUAUUAAAAAAAUAAUAUUUUUAAAAAAAAUCCUCUGGAAGCACCUCACCUGAUUUUUAAGUAGUCAGGCUCUCGUGUCCUACGCUACUCCGCUUCUGCUUCCAUCGUUAUAGGCCAGCACUCUCGAGAGGCAGGGCACGUGGGAAGAGAAAGGAACAUGGUAUGGUACUUUGUAUACGAAAUAAAAGGAAUGUAGUUUAAUAUUCUCUUUCUUUUGCAUCCUCUCAUUCUAAUUUCUUUCAUAUGAUUGCUUAGUAUAAAGGUAACGUAGUUUUAGUAUUCUCUUUCUUUUCCAUCCUCUAGUUAAAUUGCACCAAAGGAAUAUAGCAUAUGACAGGGGGUUGGACGUUGAACUCGUUCCCGUUCGUUCUCCCUUACUAUAUUUCUUAGCUUACUCCAAUAUGCUACUACUGUCGUUGUUCUGGUGUAGCUUUCCUUGCAAUAUUAUUUUUAACUAGAUCCAUGUACCUCUAUGAUUCAAAGAGGGCUUCCAGUUACUAAUCAGUAAUUAAUAGAAGAGACUAUCUUAAGAUGUUAGCGUGGGAUGCUAUAGCACAAAUUCCUCAACAUGAUUAUUAUGGCAUCUUGAUCUCUACAUCAAUUGCACCAAAUCAAAAAUAGUUCAUCCUUCCAAGGUGCAAGGUUGGUGCAAUCACCAUGUCUGUAGAUUGAUAUCAUCCUCUGUGCUUUUUAAUUGUUCAAAGGAUCCUGAUGCAUUGCUGCAUUGGUUGAGGCGCGAUAACCAUGUGUCACCACGGAUAUAAUUCCCAUGCAGAUUUGAUGAUAACAAUAACUUCCGAUUGGCACAAUUAUUUUUUAGUUUGCUGGUCUGAAUGAGGAUUAUUUUAUAGCUCUUGAAAGAGGACCCAUCAAACUUCUUAGAUAACAAUUGUCUGCCUAAUCACUCUAUAUGUGGUCCAUUAUAUAACUAAAUGAAUCCUCGGAGGAAACAACCUUUCCCCCUGGCACUUCAACCAAAAACGAUUGUCGGCCUAUUCCAAUGGCAGAUCCGAAAGCAGAGAUCCUUAGAAUUCAGAUAGGUUAUUAAAUCUGACUUUCUGAUUUGUAAAAUCUUUACACUGUUUUAUCAACCUGAUUGACCAUGAUCUAUUUGAAUUUCCCAAAAGAAGACUUACCAAGCUCCCUUGGUGCCAAUUACUUCCUCGUUGAAUUGAAGAUCUGGGAGAAAUCACCUUUUUGUUCAAAUCAUCCUGUCUGGAAUUCUCACAAGUUUGCAGAUACCUGAUCAUUUGAGGGACCGUAGUAUCUUCACCAUCAAUCUAAUCUAACAUCUACCGAUCAAAAAGUGCGUGAAGGCUUGGUCUGGUCCAAUGACAGGUUAACUGUUGCUGUAGAUCCCCGGCUCCAGCCGGAGUUGCUGGAGCAAGAGGAAGCCCAGCAGAGAUAAUGGCGACUAGACCUAUAAAACAAUUCCUUGAUCAGGAAUGAUUUCGGCGAAGAUCCUCUAACACUCAAAUUAGAAAUAUGAAAUAGAUAGGAAGGAGCAUGCAAGAGAGUUGCGUACCUUAGGGGUCUCUUAGUUAUCUCUAUUUAUAGGUCAACGUUAGAGCUGUAAGGAGGAAAAAUUGCAGGAGGCCAUCCCGACUUCUUUGGACAUACCAUUUUGAGAUGUCUAGUGGUUGACAUCAUCUUAUCCAGUGCGCAUCCAGUCGUUCUCAGGAGUGGUGUGAUUUGAUGGGAUCUUAUCCGGCACGCAGCCAAUCGUUCUCAAGAGUGGCGUGAUUUAACGAGAUCUUAUCUAGUGCAUAGCUAGCCGUUCUUGGGAGUGAUAUGAUUUAACGUUGAGUGGUGUGAUUUGAUAGGACUGAAUAGGGGCCUCCUGUCAAUCUUUCUAAAUAUGAUGAUCCACAGAGGUUGAAGAGAAUGUAGCCUGACAUCUUGUCAUGUGUGUGUUGGAGAUGUGGAUCAGUGGUAGGUUCUUAAGUCAGAGACGACAUUGGGGUCGGGAAUCUUUUUGGAUCGAUGUCUGAUGUUCAGAUGCCAUUUUGAUGAUGAAUAAAGUGUUCGAUGUGUAGAUUGGCAAUCUGAUAUGCCUGAAGAUAGGUUCGGGCACCGAUGCUGGGGUCGGCAGCUCGCAUGUAGAUCAGUGGCUUAUGGAAGGAGAUGCUGGUGAGAAGUCCGAAACCCAUGCAAGGUCGGCGGCUGAUGUGAGGCUUGGUGGCCAAUGUGUGGAUCGACGGCCGAUGCAGGGGUCGGGCAUAACCAUAGUUCAUCUGCAUCUUCAGACCGGGCAUUAGGAUUCGAUGGCUAAUGCAGGGGUCAGCCACGACCAUAGUUCGUCUACAUCUUAGGAUCAGGCAUUAGGGUUCUAUCCAUAACACAUGCCUCCCUACUCUCUAGUAUGAGCAGAGGUCAAGCAUUGGAAGUACAAACCAUUUGGUAUCCAUCGAAGUAACACGUCAAACCUCCAUUCUAGUCAAAAUGGUGCAUCCAUAGAUUUCGAACCAUCACUUAGAGAGUUGGUGAGAUUUGUGAAGAGGCGUAAGGCGAAAAAACGUCAGGCAGCAGUUAUUUAAAAAAUUUGGCUAGAUUUGAGGAGUCGUGUGUGCCUAUAGAGAUGUGCCUAUAAAUGUGCCUCUUAGGGGAAAUCAUUUCAACUGAUUCAGUUUUGCCAUGUGACGAUCAUCAGCAGUUUUAACCAAACCAAUUUAGAAUCAGGGGCCAUCUGCGGCCUUUAUAAAUAGGGGUGUCCUCUUCAUCCCUUUCUUUUCUUUACCGUUCUUCCUGAGUUUUCUUCUUCCUUGAGACAGUAGUGCUCUUCCGAGAAGAUCCAAAGCUCCAUUAGCGAGUCUACUCCCGGACAUGCAGGCUACUUUUCUAGAGUCCUUCCUCGGCCAUUUUUUAGCCAGUCCUUUAAUUCCUUCAUGCUUGCUCAUUCUUUUUCUUCAUCUCUGCAUUUCUCUCCUUCACCUUCUUCUUUGGGUUUAGGGUUAUCCAUCAGCCGUAAGAUAGGUAGAUCGGGGAAAGAAAUAGUGGCAAGGGAGCCUUCCAAUUCUCUCUCGGGAGGUGACCUUAGGGAUUCUAAUGCUAGGCUUGGGGGUGAGAAUUUCAUGCCCAAUAGAUUUUGCUCCAUAGUGGACUUAAAUGACCUUAGUAUGCUUAGAACUCAGUUUGGCAUUCUUCUCAAGUUUGAUUUAGAGUUCUCAGAUCCAACUGAUAGGAUAUGCAAUCCUCCUCUUGGUCAGCUAUCUUUAUAUGAGGAGUUGUUUCGAGCUAAUCUUAGACUCCCCCUCUCUCUUUUCAUCAUUGAGCUUUUUCUUACUUUUGGUAUGGCCUUGGAUUCGAUGGCCUCGAACUUAUGGUGUUUUCUUAUUAGCUUUCUGGCGGCCUACUUCCUAGCGGAGAUUGAGACAUCUAUCGAUCUAUUCCGAUGUGUCUACACUUUUAAAAAAUAUCCUUAUUUCGAUGAUUGAUGGUACCUUUCUCCCCGUAAGGAGAUUCACGCUUUGAUCCAAGGUGCCCCUUCGUCCAUUCACGAUUGGAAGGAGCGCUUCCUUCACAUCUCCUACUUAAGCAUAGGAGAUUGAGGCUGCGCCAGUAGGGCCAACUUAAGGAGUCUAACCUUCGAGCUUCUGAGUUAGGGGAUAUAGACCGACAACACUCCAAUGCACUGUGCGAGUACUAAAUUUUAAAACAAUCGAAGUUAUUAUUGGAGCAGACUUUCUUUAACGUCGGUUUCAGCCCAACCAAUCCACAAGGUAAGAUUGAAUUGGCCGAUCUGAGCUUUUUCUUCUUUUUCCUUCCUCUUUCUCCUAUUUAACUCAUUUUGGUUUGACACAGAAAUAAAGUAUGAGGAGAUUGAGGCGAUGAAGAAGUUGGGCCUAAAGAAGAGGAAGGCCUUAGGUUCAUCUUUUGGUGUGGCAGUGCCAAAGAAGCCGUGCCUAGCUCCAUUUGCCCAAGGGAAGCAGCCUGCCAAGGAGGGUGUUCCCUCACCUAUGGUGGUGGUCCAAGCUUCUUCAGUGCAAGUUCGUGCAUUGGUAGCUCGUUUGUCGACCCCAACUCUAGUGCAAGCUCGAGCAUUAACAGUUCAUCCAAUAGCUCCAACUUGGACUUUGCCUCCCAAGUGCCAGAACUAUCUCCCUGAGCUGAGAGGAGCAGCUCAGAAUCAUCUCCUCUCCCCUGCGGGGGGCUGAGGGCUAUUUUGAUCACUCCCUCCAGCUCCGCCUAAUGAGACCACAAAGUGGCCCAUGAGCAGCUUCAGACCUUUCUUCUUCCAGUGGAUACCAAUCAGCUGGAGGAUCAGGGCCUAAACACUCAGCAAAGAGAUGCUAUUGAUGCUAACACUCAGGUGAGUUCUCCAAUUUUUUUUCUUUCUUCCUUUUUUUUUUUUUGUCUUUGCAUCUUUGGUAGCUGACUUGGUCAUUUUCACAGCUCAAUCAUUAUAUUGCCCAGUUUAGCAGCUCGACAAAGGUGGCCAGAUCAAAGGUUUCGGAGAUCUACAAGGAGUCCGAGGUCUUCUACACAAGGGCCAAUGAGGUUGAGACUGAAGUGAAGUGCCUCAAGAAGAUGCUGAAGAAAACUAAAGCGGCAUAGGCAAGGACGGAAGUGGCAAAGAUAGUGGCCGAGGCAGUCAAAGCGAUGAGGAUGGUGGCUGAAGCAGUGCAGAGGAAGGCCGAAUCUGCACAAAGGAAGGCCAAGGUAGAACUAAAGAAGGCCGAGACAGAACUUCUAGUGGAGAAGAAGAGGUAUUAGGAUGCCAACAAAAAACUUGCCAAUGCGAUCCAACAUGUGGUUGAGGCGUUCCGGUCCUCUCUAGAGUUCACCUAGGAGAAAAUAGCUUUCUCUGAGGAAGCCUUCUUCCUAGGGCAAGACAUGCUUCAGGAAAAGAUAACCGCCUACCUUCUUGAUCUCGACCUAUCCUUUUUGGAUGAGGAUGAGGUAGGUGAGGAUCAACAGCUGGCUGAGCAUGUCACUAAAGAGGGGCCCCAACUGGAGUCAGCAGUCGCUGAGACAGCUCACGCUCAGCCAGCAACCAGAGUUCCUAUUGACGCUCCAGAAGCUCUUGAGACCGAGGUGGUCAAUGCCUCUAUUUAGGCUUCAGCUUUAUAAUUUUUUUUAAUUUUUCCAUCGUGUGAUAAUGAACUACUUAUUUAAUAAAAGGAUCUUUUUACCUCUAGAGUUUUCUUUUGAUUUUUGAUCAUGUGGUUGUUCUCUAUGCAGUCUGAUCAUUAUGGUAGCAUAGUCUUCUAUCAUCACACUGAACCCAUUCCAUGGGCUGUGGCUAUGCCCAUUAGAGCCUGUGUUAAAGCUCUUGAGAAAGAGGUUCAGGCGGGCAAAAAGAAGGCCUCCGAGGCAAGUGGAAGGGCUUUGAAGAGAAAAAAGAUGUAUGCCCAGGCCUUCACAAAAACAAAGUGCCUCCAAGAAAAUAUUAGGUAGACGGACAAGUUAUACUUCUUGGAGAAGAAGCACCUGACCGAAGCCUAUUCAAAAUCAGACAAGACUACUGAGGAAGCAAGAUGGGGUGCUACUUCGUUCCUACCCAAGAGAGGAUUGCUCUCUUGGAACAGUUCAUAAAUUCGGGUAAGGUGGCCGAAGAAGCGAGGUGGGAUGGCGCCAAGAAAGUACUUUGGUUUCAAAAUAAGCUUCUAACAAAGGAGAAGGUUGGUUCUUCAGAGUGUUCGAUUGACCAUUGACGAUCAAUGGCAAUGAAGCUUCAGUUAGAACUAGUGGAGAGCAAGGCAGUAGUCCAUUUUGCCAAGUGCAAAGUCAAAUGAGUGGAAGCGAAGUUCACUGUGGGCCAGAUUGAGCACAUUUACAGAGUGUUGAAGUUAGCUUUAACAGCUUAUGCAAUCAAUUUCAUGAAGUGAAAAUCCUUGUCUAAGUAGCUAUUUUCGAGGAUCGACUCCGACCUCCUCGAGAUGGUGCCUCUUGAAGACUCAAAUCUCCCCACAGAUGGAAAUGAUGAGGGUCCUUCUCAAGUGGGGGACGAACUAGCUCUCGAAGUCCAUGAUCGGUUAUAGAUUUUUUUUUUAUUUUACCAUUUCAACUUGUAAACCACAUUAUUACCUUGUAAUCGAUCGGUUGCUCUAACCUUUGGAGUUAAUAAAAAGUUACUUCUUGUCCUCAUUUACUCUAUUUCUUGUUUUUGGAUUAAAUUUCAUAUUAUCCUUUCUUAUCACUUCAUGUCAUUAGUGUAAUCAUCAUAGAUGUUUUAAUGUAAACUUCUAUUUGUCAAGUGGCUGGUCUUCUAGAUUAGGUAUAGUUACGAGAUCCAAGGGUACCCCACUACGUCUAGGAUUUUCAAAGUCAUGGCCAUAUGGAGUCCUAGUAGCCGUUCGGAGAUGAAGUGAUGGAGUGCUUUUGAAGUGGUCAUCAUGUCCAUAUCUGUCGAUCUGAUGAAGCACCCAGAAGUCAUCACGGCUAGAUUCGUCGAGGUGACAAAGUGUCCGAAAGUUAUUGUGGCUACAUUCGUCAAGGUGAAGUGUCUAAAGUCAUCGUGGCUACAUUCGUCAAAGUGACAAAGUGCUCGAAAGUAUCGGAGUGAUGAGGUGCUCGAAAGUCAUCGUGGCUAUAUUCAUUGAGGUGAUGAAGUACCCAGAAAUCAUCAUGGCGAUAUUCGUUGUGGUGUCGAAGUGCCCAAAAAUCUGAUCUCUCUGAAUGACUUGGUAAGGGGCCUCAUUUAUUUGCAAAAACUUAUGGAUGAGGUAAAGAAAAAGAUUUAUUAAGAGAGCUUUUUUACAUUCAUUGAUAGUAUAUCCAUAGGUUGCUCAAGUUUUAGGAUCGUUAUAGCAGAGUCCCAUUCAGCUACCUUAGAUGAUAGGUUUCGAGUCUGACGACCUCAUCCACUUGAUAAGGAUCUUUUUAGUUUGGAGACAACUUCCCUUGUUCACUUGACUAUGAUACUUCUGGACGACGCACGACUAGAUCACUGAUCUUGAAUUCUUUGCCUCAGACAUAGAAAUUAUAGUAUCACAUCAUCCUAUGUUGAUAGGCUACCAUUCUGAUCUGAGCCUUCUCUCGAACUUCUUCAAGUAGAUCCAGAUUUGCUCAAAGCGAUUGUGGAUUAUCCUGGUGGUUCUAGUUUUCAACCCAUGGGGAUGAAAAUCUGAUCUCCAUGGGGAUGACCACUUCUGUUCCAAAGGAGAGGUUGAAGGGGAUCUCUACGGUGGAUAUUCUGAGUGAUUAUGUAGGCCCAAAGUAUAUGAUGAAGUUUGACUGCCUAUGACCCCUUGGCUUGGUUCAACAUGGAUUUCAAAUCCUGUAGGAGAGUUCAGUUAGUUACCUUGGCCUCUUCGUUAGCUUGGGGAUGUCCUAUCGAUAUAAGAUGAUAUGAGAUAUCCAGAUCUCAGUAGAAUUCGAUAAGUCAAGCACCGCUAAACUGGCGAUCAUUAUUGAUAAUUAGUGCUCAUAGGAGGCCGAAGAGGCAUAUGAUGAACUUCCAAACAAAGUUCUUAACUUUGACUUUGGUGAUACAGGCCAGAGGUUAGGCUUCCACCCACUUAGUGAAGUAGUCGAUGGUGAGGAGUAGAAAUUUUUGCUGGCAUCAUGCUUAAGAAAAUAGAUCAAGGAUGUCCAUUCCCCAUUGUACAGAGGGCCAGGAUGUUGAUUAGGGCCAAGGGCGCUGGCAUUGGAUAUUAGUAUUUCACUGGCAUCGAUCAUACUGUUUUGUUAGGUCGGCUAUAUCCUAUUGCAUUGUAGGCCAAUAGUAUUCCUAUCGAAGUACUUUGUAGGCCAACGAGACCAUGAAGCCAAGAAACUUUUCGGAGGUGACUCCAAAAGCAUAUUUUGUUAGAUUUUCAACUUCAUUUGAUAUUUUUGGAGGGUGUUGAAGAUUUUUUUGAGGUCGGCAAUGUGGUACCCCGAUGCUUGGCUCUUGAACAGCAUGUUGUCCACAUACAUCUUUAUGUUUCGACUGAUCUACUCCUUGAAAAUUUUAUUUACCAAUUGUUGGUAGGUGGCACUUAUAUUUUUCAGUCUAAAAGAUAUAACUCUGUAACAAAAAAGAUCAUGGUCAACAACAAAAGCAGUUUUCUCCUCAUCCUCAAGUGCUAUCUGAAUUUGGUUAUAAUCGAAGAAGGUAUCCAUGAAAGUGAGAAGCUCAGGGCUUGACAUGGCAUCCACUAGUUGAUCAAUUCAAGGUGGGGGGUAGCUAUCUUUUGGACAGAUUUUGUUGAGAUCGAUAUAGUCUAUGUAGAUCCACCACUUUCAUUGAUCUUUUUAUGAGGACCACAUUCACGAGCCAUUCCAGAUAGAGCACCUCCCUGGUGAAGCCAGCUUCGAUCAGCUUGUCUAUCUCUUCGGCAAUGGCAUUCUGCCGCUCUAGUGUAAAACUCUGCUUCUUUUGUUUAAUAAAUUAGUAUAAAUGGUCUGUGUUCAAUCGAUGUACCAUCACUUCUGGAUCGAUUUCAAGUAUGUCUAUUGCCGACCAAGCGAAAACGUUUACUUCUCCUAUAGAAAUGAAAUUAGCUAGUUUUGAGUUUCCUAGUUCAGGUUUGACCGUAUUUGAACUACGUGCCCUUUGUUCCCAUUAUUUAGAUAGAUCGUCACGUGGUCCUCUAUGGGUUCCCCUGCUCUUCGAUAAGUUCAUCGCGAGUAUCCAAUCCUUCGAUAGGAAGGUUGGUUGAUGAUUUUGCUCCUAGGAGGGCAACCGUAUAGCAUUGUCAAGCUAGCACCUGUUCUCCACGGACAUCUUUAGUUCCAUGUCUAGUAGGAAACUUCAUCAAUAGGUAGUAGAUCGACAACACGGCCUUAAAGGCAUUCAGCCCUGGCCGCCCCAAACUAGAUAGUAUUAUAUGUCGAGGAUGCUCUGACCACCAAGAAGUCAGUGUUUGUUAUGGCUUGUCGGGACUCUCAUCCAGCUAUGACCGGCAAGAUAGCAACCUCUUCAAUUGAUACAGCAUCUCCAGUAAAGCCUACAAUGGGAAAAUCAAGCCUACGCAGUCAAUCUAAAGGAAUGCCCAUUUUGGACAAUGCAUCGUAGAAUAAGAUAUUGGUUAAACUCCCAUUAUCUAUUAAGAUGCAAUGUAUAUCAUAAUUUAUAAUAUUUAGAGAUACAACCAUCGCAUUAUUAUACAAGAACUGGACUCUCUCUGCAUCCUCUUUGGAGAAAGUGAUCACUUCCUCUGACUUUUGCUUUUUGGCAGAUUCUCUAAGCUCUUACCCACCAUGCUUCUCAGUGAUGGUGUUGAUUACGCUAUCCAUAGAUCGAUUUUCUACUGGUCACUCCUGCUGUAGUUGCUUCAAGUGCCGAGGUGCUUUUGGUGGCUUAAUUACAAGUCCUUCCCUUCUAUGGCAGAUGAGAUGGUCCAAUUGGCCCAGUCGAAUGAAUUCUUCGAUCUCAUCCUUGAGUUGGAUACAGUUCUCAGUGUCAUGGUUAUGAUCAUGAUGGUAGAGACAAUACCUCUUCUAUAUGUGAUUUUUUGAUCGAAAUUUUAUUUUUCUUAGCCUGGGCAGCUGUUCUCUAAUCUUCAUAAGUAUCUAGGUUUUGGAGGCAUUCAGGGAAGUGUAGCUGGUGAACCUCCCCUAGGGGGACCGACACCUUGGUGACUGGCAAUGCUGUCUUUGGGGGCUUCUAGAUCAUCGACCUCGAGAAGGGGUUCUAGGUCUUCGACGUUGAGAGUUCUAGACCGCUAUCAAUUCCUUGGGGAUUCCUCUAAGAUCGGAGAGAUUCUAAGAUCUCCCUUUCUUUUCUCAAUCACAAAGUCGAUCGAGGCGCCAUGCUUCUCGAAGGCUUCAUCUACUUGGACAUACUUUUCAAUCCAAUCCAACAUCUUUGCAAAGUCCUUCGGAUACUUCUUCUAUAGUAAGUAGAGGAGAGAAUUCUUCUAAAGCCUGCCUUUAAAGCCGGUCAUCAUGACCGACUGGUCCAGGUCGGGCAUUUUCAAGGCGACUGUAUUGAAGCAGUUUACAUAGUCAUGGAGGGACUCUCCUUCCCUCUACUUAAUGUUCACUAAAGAGCCAAAUUAUCGAUGCUGUCUUUUGCUGGUGAUAAAGUGGGUGACAAACAACUAGCUCAUCUGAUCAAAAGAAUGGAUGGAGUCUGACUUCAGACCCGAGUACCAAUCCUGGACUGCCUUCUUGAGGGUAGAAGGAAUAGUCUAGUAUAGGAUGGCAUCGCUUACCCCAUGAAGGAGCAUUAGAGCCUUAAAGCUCUCCAAAUGGUCUACUAGGUUAGCUAACUCAUUGUAGCUUUUCGGCUAAGGCAUUUUGAACUUACCAAGCAAUGGCUCCCACAUAAUUCUAUUACUGAAAGAUGAGUCGAUUCGAAAGCCAGCCUGACCGCCCCGAUCUAUGGCUUGAUGCUGCAAUGCCUCAAUCCAUUGGUUCAUCUCUUGGAGUUUACGAUCCACAUCAAGAUUAUGAACCAUAUGGAUCUCUGUGCGGUGUGAUGAGGACUGGUCCAGAGUGGAUUCCUUGCUGGAGAGAGAGAUUGGUGAGCAUCUUCUUUGCUUGGGGCUUCGGGGCCAGCUCAACCAUGUCUUCCUACCUCGAUCCAGACAUCGUGGUGGAGAUUGAGGAGGUUGUUGCUGGAGCACCUUCUACAUGGCGUUAACUACUUGCACUGGACUAUCAGAGUACUAAAUUGAUCCUGAUUUACCUCCACAAUCGAAGGAGGGGGUUGUGAAGGUACCUCCGACUACUGAGUCGAAGCAUGAUUCUCAAUCAAAUUUUUAGUCGAUCGGCAUGCUAUGGUGCUUGAAUAACUUAAGGAUGUUCUUCAUGGUGGUAUGAUGAUGGAUCAUGUACUCUUUCCUAAAAACAGAUUUGGUCCUUCCUGUAGUGCCAAUCUGUUACUGCAGAUUUUCAGGUCUGAUCGAAGUUGCUAGAGUGAGGUGAAGCCUGGCAAGGAUGAUGACGACUGAACCUGCAAAAUAAAUUUUUGACUGGGGGUGGCUCCAGUGGAGAUCCUUCGAUGCUCAAGUCAGAAAUAUGAAGCAGAUGGGAAGGAACAUAUGAGAGAGUUGCAUACCUUGGGGGUUCCUUGGUUAUCUUUAUUUAUAGAUCGACGUUAGAGCCAUAAGAGGAAAAAAUUGCAGGAGGCCAUCCUAACUUCUCUGGGUGCACCAUUUUGAGAUGUCCGACGGUUGAUGUCACCUUAUCAGGUACACAAUCAGUCAUUCUCAGGAGUGAUGCGAUUUGACAGAACUUUAUCUGGCAUGCAACCAAUCAUUCUCAAGAGUGGCAUGAUUUGAUAUUGAGUAACAUGAUUUGAUGGGACUACUUGGGGGCCUUCUAUCAACCUUUUCAAAUAUAACGAUCAGCAGGGGUUGAAGGGAAUGUAGCCUGACGUUCCAUCACAUGUGCUGUUGGAGAUAUAGAUCGACAGUAGGUUCCCAGGUUGGAGAUGAUAUUGGGGUCGAGACACUUCUUAGAUUGGUGUUCGAUGUCCAGGUACCAUUCUGAUGAUGAAUGCAGUGUUUGACGUGUAGACCAGCGAUCUAAUGUGCCUGAAAAUAGAUUUGGCUGCUAAUGCUAGGGUCGGCAGCUCGCGUGUGGAUCAGUAGCCUAUGGAAUGAGAUGUUGGUGAGAAGUCAAAAGCCCGUGUAAGAUUGGUGACUGAUAUAAGCAUCAGUAGCCAAUGUGUGGAUCGAUGGUGGAUGUAGGGGUCUACCGUGAUCAUUGUUCAUCUAUGUCUUCAGAUUGGGCAUCAAGUUUCGAUGGCCGAUGCAGGGGUCAGCCAUGACUAUAGUUCGUCGAUAUAUUCGAACCAGACAUCAGGGUUCUACCCACAACACUAACCUUGGUUUGAGGAUCCGCCCUUAGGCUGGCUUUGUGCCAAUAGUGUAGCCCCUAAUUUACGUGGAGGUGGACUCCACCUCCGCAUCAGGCUCCAUCAAAGAGGGUGACUCUGGGUGUAUGAUGCAUUGGGUCUAGCCCAUAUGGAACCUACGUAGUCCAAAGAAAAAAAAGAAGGAAAAAAAUAAAGAAAGAAGCCGAGUUUGGAAGGAAGCCACUUUUGGCCGUGAAGAGCACUGUUCUUUUGGGAUUCUGAUUGCCCCUCCAUUUAAGUGGGAGUCAUGUAUAUUCUUUUGGGGAUUCUUCUUCUCUCCUUCAUCAUGAUCCUAGGAAUUGGCUUAUACUUUAAGACCAAUACUUUGUUUGAAUUUUUUUUUUUUAAGUCUGACUUGCUGCUGACCAUUGUCCUCUUAGUAAUCAUGUUAGAUGGAAUUUAGCUUUCAUCUUUGUCUAAUUUCAUCAUUGUUGAUUGUCCCAUGGAGUCGACAGGUAAUUUUGAGAGACAUCUACGGAGACAUCUGGUAAGGUAACACUUGUAUUUGUCUCCAAUCAAUAUAUAUCUCAAGUUUUAGGAUAUAGUACUUAAUUAGAUCCUAUUGUAAUCACUAUUUAUUUAUAGUGAAUUUUAUUUAGAGUUGUCCCAUGGUCUUUUUCAUCUGUAGAGAAAGGAUUUUCCACAUAAAUUUUGAUGCUUGCUCUUUCACCCAAUUUUAUUUUAUUUUUAUAAAUUUGCACCCUUCAUGAAAUCCUGCUCUCUCCUAUGAUGCCGUAGAAUAUGUCUUCAUCCGCUUUUCUUUAUUUCUCAUCUUUCUCUUAAAAAAAUAUCACACUUAUGCCACAGCCACAUGAUCGUGACGUGGCAUAAAUAUGAUGAGUCAUUGCCUCUCACUUUAUCAAUAACUCUUCUCUUUUUCCAUCCCCAAGCGAGGGCAUCGCUGCCAGCCAAAUUUUCAUUAGAGACCUUUAGAUCGAACCUCUUCAACACCCCUCUUGUUCUACACUUACCUCCCUACUUUCAUGAUAACCACCUUGCCGGCCCUCUAACUGGGCUUCUUAAUUACCAAAAGCCAAUUUUUAAUUAUCGACUGAGCCCUUCUACCUCAAUCCUUUUUUCUUUCUUCUACUGGCCACUUGCCAUCCAGCACCCGCUACUACCACCACAGUUCUCAAAAGCCCUCCUAUGUCUCUUUUUCUCUCUAUCUAUUUCUCUCAACCAAACCACUCAAGCCCCUUCCUUUUCUCUUUGUUUUGUCUCUCACUCCAUCACUUUCUAUGUCUUGCCGGGGGUCCCUUCCUUUUGGUCAAUUCUAAAAGAGGGUCUUAAACCUAGCAACAACCCAUCAUAUCGAUCUUUACCUUGGUCUUCAUCAGGCAUCACUGGACCUACCAUUAACAACCCUUGUUGUGCCACCUUUGCCCUAAUUGAAGUCUCAUUUCAUAAUCUACCUGAUCAUCGCCUAGAAUCAGAUUGAUAUGAGCUGUAAGGGGUAUAGGGAAACGAGUAAAUUUAGAGUAUGGUUUUAUACUAAAGGUGGGCUUCGGACCGGGCAACCCAUGGGCCGUUCCAGCCCCGCACGAACAAGACCGCGCCACUCAUUUCAUAAUCUACCUGAUCAUCGCCUAGAAUCAGAUUGAUAUGAGCUGUAAGGGAUACAUCGUAGGAAAACGAGUAAAUUUAGACUAUAGUUUUACACUAGAGGUGGGCAUCGGAUCGGGCCGCCCAUGGGCCGGUCCGACCCCGCACGAAUAGGACCGUGCCUGGCACGGCCCGCUAAGUACUAUAGCGGGCUGUGCUAAGGCACGGCCUAAUACUAGGAGCCGGACUGAGUUGGGGAUUUGGUGGCCAGCGACCCAGGCUGGGCAUGGCCCGCCAUGCCAGGCACAGCAUGUGCCCAGGCCCAACACAGCCCACGUGCUAGCCCACAAGGCACGGCCCAUAUGGGCCAUGGUACGAUCCAUUUGGCAUGGGAUGUUUUUAAAAUUUUAUUUUAAAAAAUAAUUUUUAUAAAAUAAAACAGGUUGCGGACUUAAGAGAUAAAUUAAAAAAAGAGAUAUUAAAAUUUUUUUGUAAAAGUAAAAAUCAUCUUGUAAUGGUGGAGGAUUUGGCAUGGACCCCUACUAGUUUUUUAGUAUAAAUCAAAAUUAUACAAAAGAGGGAAGGGGGCUAGGCCUAACCUCCAGAAUAUAAUGAGAGGGAGAGAGAAGAAAAUAGAGAUAACUUAUCUCAAUAAAUAAAAAAUAAAAAUAUAUAAUUUUAAAAAAUUAAGAAUUAAAAAUAAAUCUUACUAAUUGUCUAUGUCGUUUAUGUCGUCCUCGUCAUCAAAUCCAGUAUCAUGUCCUUCUCUGUCCUGAAGUCUCGUCUCCGUAUCCAGCCAAUCUUUGAAACAGAGCAGCAUCUCAAUUGUUUCGUCCGUCAUCCUACUCCUCUUUUCAUCCAUAAUACGCUGAUCUGCAUUAAAAACUGAUUUCGAUGCUAUUGUAGACAUUAGCACAGCUAAAAUAUCACGUAUAAUUAUAGACAUAAUAGGAUAUUAAUUUUUUAUACUCUUCCACCAAGCCAAUAUAUCAAGAUUUUCUAUUUAAUUUUCAUCUAAUAUAGAAAAGAUAUCAUUUCGUAAAUAAAAUUCUAAUUCGUUACUUAAAGAUAAAGAAGAUGCAGAUGAAGAAGAUGCAUGUGAAUGUCUCCUAUAUAUAAGAAAUUAAAAAAUAAAUGAUGAACAAGAGAUACUAGAAAUGGGUUGUGAAGAUGAUAUGGACUAUCUAGAUUCAUGAAUUUUUUUAUCAUAUAAUACAAAAAUAUCAUAAAAUAGCUGAGUUACCUCAGCUUUAGAUACUUCAAAAUCAUGAUUCAUAUAUUUACUAAUUUCAUCAAGUAAAAUAUAUACGCCACUUAAUUUGAUCCAUGGAUCAAAUACAGCAGCUAAGUUAUGCAUGGGACAUACCACAUCCCAAUAUUGAUUCUAUUUAAUUUUUAUUUCAUAAAUAAUAGAUAUUAAAAUAUCAUCAUAUCUAUAUUGUACAAAUUAACCAUAAAUUAUAUAUGCUUAUUGUAAAAAUGUAUAAGAGAUUGAAAAAUAAAUAUUAGAAAGAAUAUUUUUAGCAUUAUAAAAACUGAUUAAAAACUCUUCUAAUUUUUUUUUUUUCAAUCAGUUUCAAUCAAAAUAAAGUCUAUUCCACGAUCAUUUAUAUAUGCACUUAACGGAUUUUUGUAUGGAUAUGCAUCAUAAAUCAUUGUAUAUGUAGAAUUCCAACGGAUAAUUAUAUCAAGUUUAAAUUUUUUGAAACGUUUCCCAUGAUCUAGACACAAUUAUUUAAAUUUUUGUAAUCGUGCUCUUGAAGAUUGAAUAAAAGAUAUUGUAUUUCUAAUUUUUAUAAUUAUAUCUUAAACAAUAUCCAUUCCAGCUUGAACAAAAAGAUUCAAAAUAUGAUAUGCACAUCUAAUAUAAAACAAAUUUCCAUUAAGAAUAGGAUGAAAAGAGUCCUUCAAUAAUUGAAAAGCUGCAUUAUUAUUAGAUACAUUAUCAAAUGUAACAUAUAUAAUUUUAUUACUAAUAUCAUAUGUAGCUGUAGUUUGAUAAAUAGCAUUGAAUAUUUAUCAGCCAGAAUGGGGAUAAUCAAAAGAACGAAAAGCAAGAAUACGCUUAUUUAAUUGUCAAUCAUUGUCUAUAUAAUGAGCAGUAACAGAAAUAAAAGACAUACUAUCUACAGAUAUAAUCCAUAUAUUAAAAGUUAAUAAUAUUUUUGUAUUUAAGAAAAAAAGAGUUUCAAUCAAAUUAUCCUUCAUUGCUAAGUAAUUAGUCAUAGCUAUUCUUUUAAAUAUACGUUUAUUAAUCUUUUAUAAGCAGAUUGUAAAGCUAAUUGAAUAUACUCUUUAAAAUUAAAAGAUUCAUAUAGGCUAAAAAGUAAUUCAUCCCUAACUAUCCAAUUUACAAAUGCUUUUCUUUGAUUUUCAUGAUUGUAAGCAAAAAUUUCUAUAAGAGUACUCUCUUGUAUAUUAAGGAUACUUUAAAGACGAGAAUCAACUUAUCUUAUGGAACUCUUGAUGUUUCUUUAAAUAGCCAGUUCUUCCAAAACUGGCACAACUAUAUAAUCUGAUAUAUUUUUUACAUUUUACCUUAUAGACUCUAUCAACUAAAACUCUAUCGAAAUUAUUCCAUACAGUGCUGGUCCUCUUACGGGAAGAGGAUCCAAGUUCAAUAGAAGGAGCUUCAGAGAGAAUAGAAAGAGUUACUUCCUUAAAAAUAGGAGAAAAGCCAGAUUGUAUGACAGCAAUAUUCUCAUCAUUAUAAUUUGCCAUCUAAAUUGAGUAAAUAUAAAAAAAAAUAAAAACUAAUCUGUAACCAGCAAAAGAAAAUUAAAUUGAAUCGAAGAGGAAGAAGAGAUAGAGCGGAGAGUUGGAGAGCCGGAAGAAGAGGGUCGGGCCGGAAGAGGAGAGCCAAAAAGAGUAGAGCCGACAGAGUAAAGACGAAAAAACUACCUCUUGAACUUCGACCUCUAAAAGAGGGAUGCUUUCUCCUCUUGUAUAACUUUUGAAUUGUUAAACUAUAAUUGCUAGUUGCUAAAUAUUGAAUGGAAGAGAGCAAAAUUGCUAGAAGAGAGAAUAAAUAAAAGUAGAAAGAUUAGAGAGGGAGAUGAUUGAUUUGAUAAAUUGGUGUGGUGAGAAUAAAAAAAGAAGACCCUAUUUAUAAAAAUCUCAAAAUUUUUAUUUUUCCAAAAUACCCCUCAAUCUAACUAUUUUUUUGACUAUUGAAGCGAUCAAAAUGGUCAUUUUUCCAAAUAUAUUCGUUAUAAUCCAAAAAAAUAAUAAAAAAAAAAUUUUAGCCAUUACGGGCCGAUCCUAGCCCGUAAUGGCCUUACACAGGCCGUGCCAGGCAUAGCCUGUAAUGGGCUCAAACAGGCCGUGCUUUUUUUUUUAAAAAAAUAAAAAAAUAAAAGGAUCGGGCCAUCAGGCCCGCAGGCCUGAAGGGCCACAUCACCACGCCCCGGGCCUAGGACCGUGCUAGGCCGAGGUCCGAUGUAAUUAGGUCGUGCCAAGCACGGCCCAUUUACAGAACAGGUCAUGCCCGAUGCGGCCCAUUUUGUCCAUGGCCCGAUGGGCCUAGGCCGGGCCAUGCCAAGCACGGCCCACUGUCCAAGUCUACUUUACACUUUAGUCCAUUAAUUAAAAUUAUGUGCAAUCUUGCUAAAAUAAACUUUUAGAUCUUAUUAAUCCAUAGCUAUAAAUACCUCUACUUCUAGUGAUUUUAUCAUGCAUGCCAUAAAAUCUGACUUAAAAAUUUAUAUUAUUUAUUUGUUUACUCAUGCUUGAAAAAUCCUAAAUAUUUGUAAUUAAAAUUUAUAAUGCACAUUUAUAUUAUAAUUAUAUUAAAUAUUAUGUCUACUCUUAAAAGAAUAAAUUUUAAAAUUUUGAUUCAAGCAUGAGGUGUUUAAUUGACUAUGAUCACGAGCAUGAUGAUUGAUAAUAUGAUGGAAGAGUUUGAAAUGGGAUUUCAUAUUAUGUUAUGAAUCCACAUGGAUAUUUGAAAAGAAUUAUGCUCACUUAUGCUUGUAAAAACUAAUUUUGAAAUAGAUUAAUCAUUAUUGCCUAGUCUUUCUAUGGUUCAUGUCUACCAACAGGAUUGAUCAUUAGACAUGUCCAAAAGAUAGUUUCUUUUAGGCCAAGCUGAUUAGAGUUCACUGUUGGUGGAGCUAAUUUCUUUUGAGUUGAGCCAGUUGGGGCUAAUCAUUGACCUAUGCUAAUCAAAAGUAUAUUAUACUUUCAGAAGCUAGUCUCUUUGUUCCUGUCAUGAGACUAGUCAAAGCCAUAUGAAUCACUAUUGGUUCCUUUCAAGUUCUACUAGUCGAGGUUGAUCACUAGUAUAUACUGAUGGAUGACAUAUUCAGUACUCGCGAGCUGGUCUCUUUCAGAUCUUCUUAUGAUGUUAAUCGUAGCCGUAGUCACUAAAACUAGAAGAGGGCAAAGGUUGUAAUUGCUUUGUGAAUUUCAUAAAUAGGGAUUUUCUUCAUAAGAGGCAUUUAACACUAGUUUUUAUAUGGAUAUUUGAAAGGUCAAAUUUCAAAUUGUCAAGCAUCUAUAUGUUGGUUAUGAAUUCCUUUAUUGAAAAUUUAGUAAGUUAGUUCUUGUUACACUUCAAUUUGAUGUUUGAUGAUGUUGAAUAUUUUAAUAAAUAUUUAUAUUUGAUCCAAUACUAUAAUAAAAAUAAUUUUAGGCAAUAGUCAAAAAAUGUGGCUUAAAGGCCUAAAACCAUUGCCUCAUUAGUUUGGCAACGAUAUUCCAAUCGCUGCUUAUUUGGCUGUUGUCUAAAGUCAAAAGCAAUGGUAUCUUAAUUUUAAAUCAAUGAUUAAAUUACCUACAAUAGUUUUUAAUGAGUAUCUAUAACAAUUGUAAUAAAGAAAAUACAAUGGUUGUUUUUACUACGGUACCACUGUUUUCUGAAAUCUUGAAAAUGAUUUUUUUUAUUUAGACAAUCAUUUUUUUUGGAGUAAUUAACAAAAGUUAUUAACUUCAUAUAAUGAUUUGUUAUAAGUUUUUAUAGUAGUUAUGAUUAUUUAGACGAUAAUUUUCAAAAGAAUUUGAUAGUGAUUUCUAUAUUUUAGAAAAUGAUUAUUCAUAUUUAGGCAACGAUUUUCUAAAGAUUGCUACAACACUUCUUUUUAUUUUAGAUAAUGAUUUUUUAUAUUUAGACAAUCAUUUUUAAGAAAUUUUAUGCAACAAAUUUUUGAUUAUAGACAAUGAUUUUUAAGAUUUUUUUGGCAACAAUCUUUUAUAUCUAGGCAACAAAUCUCCACAAUUGCAUUACUUAUUUUAAACAAUUGUUUGCAAUGAUUGUAUAUGCUAUUUUUAUGUUUAUAACCUAUAUUUUUAAAAUAUAAUUCUUACGUAUCUCAUUUUAAUAUUUUGCUCAAUAAUAUGUAUUUCUAAAAUAUCAAUAAAUUAUGAUAACACACAACAAUUAAAAUUAUAGCUCCAAAAUAUAUUCAUCACAAUAACAUUUCAAUAGUGUAUAAACAUCAAACUGUAGUCUGUAACUUCAUAUACGAUCAACAUUCAAAGAAAAUAUAAAAAAUAAUAUUUAAUAGUCAUUGUAUUUUUUUUUUUAUUAUCCUCCAAUGAAUGAUCUUUUUUCUCCAUAAUAUUGUUUCCCCCUGAAGCAUGUAUCUAUCAUGAAUGAAAAUUAAAUCACAGAAGAAACAACAUUGAAUAAUCAAAAUCCUAAACAAUAUAGAUUUACUAUGUGUAAUGAAAAUAAUUUAUUUUUUGUAUGAAACAACCAAAAUAUUUUGUUAUAUAGACAAAUAACUCAUACAUACCUAUAAAGAAGAAGGAUCAUAUGUGCAUCAGCUAAAGACAGUUCAUGCAUGCAUGGCAUCCCAAUUUUACUAGUAGCAUCACUGGAUUGCUCUACUAUAAUUGUAUAAGCAUCAUUUGGAACCCAUAAGCCAUGUAUGUUCUCUCUUGAGCAAACUUCUAAACCAUAUUUACUAUCUCUUUAUCAAACUUCUUUUGCAUAUCCUUCCAUGUAAUUUUUUGAAGUUAUCCAUCUGUUACUAUUGGGCCCUCUUCGAAGAUUGUCGCCAUUAAAUUUUUUCUGUAAGUCCUUUUAGGUGAUCCCCCAUCUAUAAAGAUACAUAUGUCUAGAUUUGUCUUUUUCUAAAACUUUUGUAUUUUUUUCUGCACUUGUACUGCUUUAUCUUUGAGUUUUAGACUAUAUUUCCUCUAGUUGAGACUACAAUACCCAAUAACCAGCUAUAUUAAAUACUCUUACUCAUAAUUUUAUUUCAAAAUUAAUAAAUAUACAUGUUUAAUGUAACAAUACAUAAAUGCUUAUUAAGCUUAAAAAAUUAUAUAAAUUAUGCAACUUACAAUUUUAGCACUUGUAUAUCCUCAUCAGUUACAUAGUUUAUGAAGUAUAUCAUAUAAAAGUCAAAUAUCAUGCCAUAAUAUAAGGUCCAAUAUAAUCUCUAAUUUCUGUAUAUCCUAUAUCAACCCCUAUCAAAGGCUUAUUAUCUACACCUUUACUAUCUCAAUAUACAUCUCCUAAAAUUAAGACCUAAAUGCAUUCUUUCCUCCAAUUUUUUAUUUGGAUCUUUAUUUGUAUGAGUUCGUAGUGCCACAUCAAGAUGAGAUAUUAUAAAACUUUUUAACAUAAUUUUGUUUCCUUCUUGUAACUAAAAAUUCAUAUUCAAUAAUGUAAAACAAAUCAACUAAAAAGAUAAGUUUAUAAAAAUAAAUCAUAUAAUAAAAUUGUUAAAAUAAAAAUAUGGUGAAUGUGUAUGGUAGAAAUAAUGUAGGACCAAUUUACCUUAAGCGAAGGAGCAUGAUGCAACUUUGUCCUUUUUGAUAUUUUUCC
rnacentral:lncRNA from 1 species